AGAUGUUACAGACCUGCGUUCUUAUUUGUGUAUUUUGGUUCUAAUCCAUCAACCCUUUAUGCUGAUUGUGUUAGAUGUAGCUAAUCUUAUUUGAGUAAAUUGUGGUGAUCUCUCUCUCUGUAUCAGGGCGCAGGCAAUAUAUCACUGAAAUAACUUGCUAUAUUUUGCUUAGACUACAUAUUCGAGAAAUUAUAAACAGAAAAAAUGUCUGCAACUUAUGGCCUGAAAUGAGUUUGAAGUAAUUUUAACCGAGUUCGAAGUAAAAAUGUCAGUAAUUUACAGAAAAAUGUCAGCAACUUAGAACAUUUAGUUUUGUGUGUGUUGUGGAUGAAGCACGUAGAACUUGUACAAAUUAAUGGAGGUUAAUAGUAGCAAGUCCAUGCACAUCUAGUCAGAUCAUCUGGAUGUGGUUGAAUCGCUGGUUAUAUUGUAGAAUCAAUCAUGCUGACACAACCAAGAGAGAAAAUGCAGUAUGGAUAAGCAAGAUAGUUUUCAUUAGAAGGAAACAAUAAGAAAAGACAAGUUAGAUGUAGCAUAAUCCAUAUUUCUGCAAGUUUUGGUUCAGAUUCCUUUCAUUUUCUUCAUGUUCAUCCUAAUCCUAUGUGUGUUUGAAGACUGAAUAGUCCGAAAAAUAUAAGCUACUGCUUGAACAUUUAUGUUUGUUUGUUCUGAAAUCAGUGGAUGCAAGCAAUCAUACAACAGUUAAUUUCAUUUCAUCCUCUGCUACUAUCUCUCUCUCAAGGACUGACCACCAUUCCAAUUAGGAUGGAGUUAGUAACCGGCAUAUAAGCAAUGAAUCUGCACUUAAUUAACUAGAAGGAGCAAAUUAAGCAGCGCAUGAGAUGGUUUUGGUGGCGUACGGUCGUUGGGUCCAUGUAAGUGGACAAAGAACUUGUGCGGGGAAAUAUAUACUGGUGUACUCAGGAAUGUUCUUCAUUAGCACCGUUUUCUCUCUUUUUCUAUAGUACAUCUAAAUGCUGCAUUAGACAUUUUCUUUCAUCGCUACUUACUUUUUAGACCUCAUUGACAAGCUAAUUAGGGGCACCUGCAUGUAAUAUCUUACACUUUUUGCUGCCUCUGAUGGAGUCAAUGACUAGUAUUGCUCCAAGUGUCGGGUCAACUACAGCGAUGGGACUUGAAGAUGAUGCCAACAAUUUUUCCAUGGUCCAAACGAGAUUCGGCAUACAUGAUGAAGAUCGUUACAGCACACCGAAAAGAACCAGUAGCCUACCCGCGUGUGGGUCAACUUACGAGCCAGAGUGUGAUGACAGCCUACAACCCUCAAUUGGAAUGCGAUUUGAUAGCUGGGAGGCAGGUUUGGCAUUCUAUAGAAUGUAUGCUCAUGAGGUUGGCUUCUCUGUACGCAUAUGGACACAACACAAAGGAGAGGGUGGUGUAAUAAUCUGGAAGAAGUUUGUUUGCGCAAGACAAGGUUGGAGGAAGAAUAAACCAGUGGAUCUAGGUCAAGUUACUCAAGAAGUGGGGAGAAAAAAGGCUAAAAGAAAUAUCAAGAUAAGCAGAUGCGGUUGCGAGGCGAUGAUGGGAUUGAAAAGGCAAGAUGACAACAAGUACGAGGUCGUCCAGUUUGUUCAAUCGCACACGCACCAACUUGUCUCACCAAGUAAGAGGCAUCCCAUCAGGUCAAAUAGAGAGGUAACUAGUGAUUUGAGAAACAAAUUAUUUACAUGCAGUAAGGCAUUGCUUGGCACUUCAAAAACUUUUCGCUUGCUUAGCAUAGAGAAGGGUGGGCCAGAAAAUAUCGGUUGCACAAAACGUGACUUACAAAACUGUCAGCGUGAUUUCAAGGCAGCGAUUAAGGGAGCAGAUGGACAACUUAUAGUAGAUAUAAUGGAAAAUAAAAAAAGGCCAAUCCAGCAUUCUACUAUGAUUACCAGGUAGAUGAGAACAAUAAACUGACAAAUAUUUUCUGGGCUGAUAGUAUAUGUAGAAAGAACUAUUCAUUAUUUGGUGACGUUGUAUCCUUCGAUUCUACAUAUCGGUUUAACAAGUAUGACUUGGUAUUUACCCCUUUCACUGGAGUUAACCAUCACAAAUCUUGUGUUACAUUCGGUGCUGCAUUUUUGUCGAACGAGAAGAUUGCAUCAUACAAAUGGUUAUUUCAGACUUUCUUGAAAGCAAUGUGUGGGGUUGCACCAAAGCUAAUCAUAACUGACGAGGAUCAAAGCAUGAGAAGAGGAAUAGAAUCUAUAUUUCCGAACACAAAGCAUCGACUUUGUAUGUGGCAUAUUCUGAUGAAACUUCCUGAAAAGGUUGGACCCAUCUUGAGAGACAAUGAAGAUUUUAAACCACGAUUCAUGGCAUGUGUCCGGGGAUCAGAGACUCCAGAUGAGUUUGAAUCACGGUGGUCCUCAAUAAUUUCUGAGUUUGGCCUAGAGGAUAAUGAAUGGUUGAAAGAGAAGUAUGGUUUACGGGAAUCAUGGAUUCCAGCAUACUUUAUGGAUUUCUCCCUUGGUGGAAUAUUACGUACAACAUCUAGAUCUGAGAGUGAGAAUGCAUUUUUUCGACACUUCACUAACCGAAAGCUUACCUUGAUUGAGUUUUGGGUAAGAUUUGAAACCGCUUUGGAAGAGCAACGACAAAAGGAAUUGCAAGAGGAUAAUUGUGCACUUCAUACCUUGCCAGUACUCGAGACUUGCUGGGGAAUUGAGGCUCAUGCCAGAGAAGUGUAUACUCACAAUAUUUUUGUUGCUUUCCAACGUGAGGUGGUGGCUGCAAGGGAUCGUCAUCAUGUCAAAACCAUUGAGCAGGUUGGUGAUGUCCGAACCACGAGCAUUGGUGACCUUAGUUUAAGGAUAAGAACAGUCCGCUUCAACACUAAUACAAAGGCUUACAUGUCGAAUGUUUGAAUCAUUGGGCAUCCUUUGCUCUCACAGCAUUGUUGUCUUAAAGAAUGAUGGGUGUAAUGAAAUUCCUAGCCAAUAUGUGCUGCAUAGGUGGACUAAAAUGGCUGCACGACAUCUUUGCUAUGAUGCCAAUGGACAUGAGUUGGAAGGGUCAUCUACUUCUCUUUCACCUAUCAUCAAGAAAUUGUACUCACAAACAUGCUCGCGGUUCAGCUUGGCAUUGCAUGAAGCUAAACAUUGUGAGGACAAGAUGGAAUACUUGAACAAAGUUUUUGCUGAUGCUCUUGCACACUUGAGUCAGACAACGCCACUUGACGAACAAAGUAAAGUUCAAGAGUUUGAAUCCUUUAUUGGAAGAGGUAAAUACACCAGAAGUCACAGAACUUGCAUGUGACGGUCAGUUUGAUGCAUAAACUUGUAAAAUACGUAUUUCUGGUCAUCUAACUUGUCGCCUCGUUCAUAUACGGUGCUUCCCAUUAUACCCAGUCAUAUCCAUACGCGCGCCAACAUGGCAGGGCCACUGUCAGUGGUUGAGGCCGGUUUUUUGUCAGAAAGGACCCUUACAUUCUAUUAAUUUAUGCAGAAAAUCCUCAAAUAAA